CACGAACCGUACGAACGUUAUUCGGAAUUACUGGGCUUAAAGGGUUUGUAGGCGGCCAUGUAAGUGGGGUGUGAAAGCCCUCGGCUCAACCGAGGAAUAGCGCUCCAAACUGUAUGGCUUGAGGGAGACAGGGGUAAGCGGAACUGAUGGUGGAGCGGUGAAAUGCGUUGAUAUCGUCAGGAACACCGGUGGCGAAAGCGGCUUACUGGGUCUCUUCUGACGCUGAGAAACGAAAGCUAGGGUAGCGAACGGG
rnacentral:rRNA from 1 species